rnacentral:rRNA from 1 species
AAAACAUGUCUUUUUGAAAAUAAUAUAAAGUCUAAUCUGCCCACUGAUUUUAAAUUGAAGGGCUGCAGUAUAUUGACUGUACAAAGGUAGCAUAAUCAUUAGUCAUUUAAUUGAUGACUUGUAUGAAAGAUUGAAUGAGAUAUAUACUGUCUCUAAUUUAAUUAUAAAAUUUAAUUUUUUUAUUAAAAAGUUAAGAUAUUUUAAAAAGACGAGAAGACCCUAUAGAGUUUAAUUGAUUAUUAAUUUGAUUUUAUUUUGAAAAAUAAUAAUGAAAUUUAAUAGUUUAUUUUAUUGGGGUGAUAAAAAAAUAAAUAAAACUUUUUUUAAUAAAAAACAUUUAUAAGUGAAUAAAUGAUCCAAUAAUAUUGAUUAUAAGAAAAAAUUACCUUAGGGAUAACAGCGUAAUUUUUUUUUUUAGUUCAAAUAAGAAAAAAAGUUUGCGACCUCGAUGUUGGAUUAAGAUAAAAUUUAAAUGUAGAAGUUUAAAAUUUUGAUCUGUUCGAUCAUUAAAAUCUUACAUGAUCU